UUGGUCGAUUAAUUGGAGAUUUAUGGAUCUUUGGCAUUGGAUUUAUGCAUCGUGUUUUUUCUACCCCUCGAGGUAGUUGGUUUUCAAAAUGGAGUUUUCGAGUGGGAAACAGUUUCAAAAGGAUUUCGAAUGGCUUUCAUGAAUGGUCAAAUAGAGUUUAAAAACAAAGUUUCUAGAUGGGGAGCACUUUUAAAUAGGAUGAUUGUUGUAUUGUGCAUUGCAUCAUCUAACGCCUAAGGAGUGUUUGGAGGCAUGCAUCAUCUCUGAGUAUCACUAAUUGUAUGGAAAUGCAUUGCAUGAAUUGCUUGUAAAUUGGUAAAUGUAAGUUGUUGUUGUGAUCCUGAUGUUGUUGGUACGCCGUGCAAAUACAAAGAAGACUCUAUCCGUGUGACCAGAGGAAUUUUAUAUUUGUGGCGGGUCUGUACGUCACGUGGGCCAGGUUGAAAAAAAAAAUGGCGCGUUUUCGGCAACUCUGAUUUCUAAAAUAGUAUUCUUUAUAAAAAGACUCUUAAAAUCGGCUCCGGGGCGUAACAAAACACUUCAAGUAGUAUAGAUCAUAUUCAACGAUACCGAUCAUCGAUUUGAAUACUCUAUCAUCAAAAAUAAAUGGGUAGCAAUGGAGUCUGUUUGCUAUCGAUAGUAUUCUAGCUCAACUAUAUAUAUAUAGUUCAGCUAGAAUACUCUCAAAAGCAUCAAGAGGUUGGUGAUUUUAAGUUUUUAACCCUUGGACGGAGAAAUGUAAGGUUGGGAUGAUAGUGGUAGGUGGUGGUAGAAGGAAUAGUGUUUGAUCCAAGGAUUAUUAGUAAUCAAGGAGUAGAUCCAAGGGUUAGAAACCUAUAAGCACCAAGGGGGUAAUACUUCUAAAAGUAUUCUAGCUAAAUUCUAUAUUUAUAUAUAAUGUAAGAUGAUAAAUAUUUUAGCUUUUUGAUCGAUACAUAUUAUUUCUUUUUGACAAUAUAAAUAAAUUAUAUAUGGCAGAGAUUUUUUUUUCUUAAAAUUUAUGAACUAUCAAUAAAAAUUUUACUAGCCUUCAUUCGUACGAGAAAUAUAAUAAUAUUUUAACAAAAUUAAUAUUUUAUACAUAAAAAAAUAUAUUAUUAUAUUAAUAAUAUUAUAUUUUAUUAAUAGUAUUCAUGUCGUGUCCGUGUCCUUAUUUUUUUAAAGAUGCCGAGUCG
rnacentral:lncRNA from 1 species